GCCUUGCGCAGCUACCAUGCAGUCGAGCGGAACGAGUUAUCUGAACCUUCGGGGAACGAUAACGGCGUCGAGCGGCGGACGGGUGAGUAAUGCCUAGGAAAUUGCCCUGAUGUGGGGGAUAACCAUUGGAAACGAUGGCUAAUACCGCAUGAUGCCUACGGGCCAAAGAGGGGGACCUUCGGGCCUCUCGCGUCAGGAUAUGCCUAGGUGGGAUUAGCUAGUUGGUGAGGUAAGGGCUCACCAAGGCGACGAUCCCUAGCUGGUCUGAGAGGAUGAUCAGCCACACUGGAACUGAGACACGGUCCAGACUCCUACGGGAGGCAGCAGUGGGGAAUAUUGCACAAUGGGCGCAAGCCUGAUGCAGCCAUGCCGCGUGUGUGAAGAAGGCCUUCGGGUUGUAAAGCACUUUCAGUCGUGAGGAAGGUAGUGUAGUUAAUAGCUGCAUUAUUUGACGUUAGCGACAGAAGAAGCACCGGCUAACUCCGUGCCAGCAGCCGCGGUAAUACGGAGGGUGCGAGCGUUAAUCGGAAUUACUGGGCGUAAAGCGCAUGCAGGUGGUUUGUUAAGUCAGAUGUGAAAGCCCGGGGCUCAACCUCGGAAUUGCAUUUGAAACUGGCAGACUAGAGUACUGUAGAGGGGGGUAGAAUUUCAGGUGUAGCGGUGAAAUGCGUAGAGAUCUGAAGGAAUACCGGUGGCGAAGGCGGCCCCCUGGACAGAUACUGACACUCAGAUGCGAAAGCGUGGGGAGCAAACAGGAUUAGAUACCCUGGUAGUCCACGCCGUAAACGAUGUCUACUUGGAGGUUGUGGCCUUGAGCCGUGGCUUUCGGAGCUAACGCGUUAAGUAGACCGCCUGGGGAGUACGGUCGCAAGAUUAAAACUCAAAUGAAUUGACGGGGGCCCGCACAAGCGGUGGAGCAUGUGGUUUAAUUCGAUGCAACGCGAAGAACCUUACCUACUCUUGACAUCCAGAGAACUUUCCAGAGAUGGAUUGGUGCCUUUCGGGAACUCUGAGACAGGUGCUGCAUGGCUGUCGUCAGCUCGUGUUGUGAAAUGUUGGGUUAAGUCCCGCACGAGCGCACCCUUAUCCUUGUUUGCCAGCGAGUAAUGUCGGGAACUCCAGGGAGACUGCCGGUGAUAAACCGGGAGGAAGGUGGGGGGACG
rnacentral:rRNA from 1 species